UGGGGAAUAUUGCACAAUGGGCGCAAGCCUGAUGCAGCGACGCCGCGUGAGGGAUGACGGCCUUCGGGUUGUAAACCUCUUUCAGUAGGGAAGAAGCGAAAGUGACGGUACCUGCAGAAGAAGCGCCGGCUGACUACGUGCCAGCAGCCGCGGUAAUACGUAGGGCGCAAGCGUUAUCCGGAAUUAUUGGGCGUAAAGAGCUCGUAGGCGGUUUGUCGCGUCUGCCGUGAAAGUCCGGGGCUCAACUCCGGAUCUGCGGUGGGUACGGGCAGACUAGAGUGAUGUAGGGGAGACUGGAAUUCCUGGUGUAGCGGUGAAAUGCGCAGAUAUCAGGAGGAACACCGAUGGCGAAGGCAGGUCUCUGGGCAUUAACUGACGCUGAGGAGCGAAAGCAUGGGGAGCGAACAGG
rnacentral:rRNA from 1 species